rnacentral:rRNA from 1 species
UAGGGAAUCUUCGGCAAUGGACGGAAGUCUGACCGAGCAACGCCGCGUGAGUGAAGAAGGUUUUCGGAUCGUAAAGCUCUGUUGUAAGAGAAGAACGAGUGUGAGAGUGGAAAGUUCACACUGUGACGGUAUCUUACCAGAAAGGGACGGCUAACUACGUGCCAGCAGCCGCGGUAAUACGUAGGUCCCGAGCGUUAUCCGGAUUUAUUGGGCGUAAAGCGAGCGCAGGCGGUUAGAUAAGUCUGAAGUUAAAGGCUGUGGCUUAACCAUAGUACGCUUUGGAAACUGUUUAACUUGAGUGCAAGAGGGGAGAGUGGAAUUCCAUGUGUAGCGGUGAAAUGCGUAGAUAUAUGGAGGAACACCGGUGGCGAAAGCGGCUCUCUGGCUUGUAACUGACGCUGAGGCUCGAAAGCGUGGGGAGCAAACAGGAUUAGAUACCCUGGUAGUCCACGCCGUAAACGAUGAGUGCUAGGUGUUAGACCCUUUCCGGGGUUUAGUGCCGUAGCUAACGCAUUAAGCACUCCGCCUGGGGAGUACGACCGCAAGGUUG